rnacentral:lncRNA from 1 species
ACCUGAGAUCACUGCGUGUCACCUGAACAGGAAGCUAUGUCUCAGCCCAAGUCAGUGGGAGCAGGAGGGCACUCUCCCAUCUUCUAUAAUCUUUUCAAUCUGAAGGAGUCUAAGAACACCACACGUGUUCAUUUCUCCCUCCCUCGCAGCACCCACCUGAUCCCAUCAGGGCCAGGCUCCCCAGCCUGGGGGUCCCUCUCCCCAAACUCAGCACAACCAACAGAAGCUAAGCAGAA